CGUGAGCUGCUUCAAGCUGUGAUCCAACAGAAGAACAGUUCCGUUAAGUACCAAUCUUUGAAAAAUUGUGAUUCAAUACAUUUCACCUGCAAACGAUUAAUUGCUUACCAUGGAUUUCUCAGUAGGAGGUACAGUAGGUUGUUGUACGUUUCCUUGUUCAACUGCACGUCCGUCUACAUCAGAGGCAUAAAAGAUAUUCAAAUCCCUUGGCAAGAAAUAUUGUAAUCAGAAGGGAGAAUGGAGACAGGAGUAAGAGUGAAAGUUGCACGAAAUAAACCUGUUAACUCUCUGUUGGUGAGUACUUUCAUCAUAUGCAGAAUGUUAUCCUGUUUUUGGGAUUAAUUAAAAUUAUGUUAUGAUAUUUCGUAUGAUAUAAAGAAAGUGAGUAUAGUCUAAGCAGUGGAACGCAUACCCUUUCCAAAAUAUUAGUUUGCAGAACUGGAUACACCAGGGGGUAAACGUAUGAGCUGGUUAGGUUUGGUAAUGACACAUCAGAGGGAGGUAGAGAAGCAGAGGAGUGUUGGCAGAGCACCUACAUAAGCACAAGUAAAAAUGUUAUUUGCUUUUCAUUGAGAAAUUUUGAGAUGAAUAAUUGAGGAUAAUAGACAUUUGAUUGGUUGUCUGCAGCUGAUCAGGCUGACAUCGAAACAAUUACAAACCUGCAUACUGUGACUCUUUUGCAGGAUAGGAGAGGGAACCACCACCUGAUGAAGAUAAAGUUAAUACAAAAGGAAACCUUGAGAGGGUGACUGAAAAAAAAGAAAGCCCAAUUUUUUCCUCCCAAAACA
rnacentral:lncRNA from 1 species